rnacentral:rRNA from 1 species
GAUGGACGCUGGCGGCGUGCCUAAUACAUGCAAGUCGAGCGAACGGACGAGAAGCUUGCUUCUCUGAUGUUAGCGGCGGACGGGUGAGUAACACGUGGAUAACCUACCUAUAAGACUGGGAUAACUUCGGGAAACCGGAGCUAAUACCGGAUAAUAUUUUGAACCGCAUGGUUCAAAAGUGAAAGACGGUCUUGCUGUCACUUAUAGAUGGAUCCGCGCUGCAUUAGCUAGUUGGUAAGGUAACGGCUUACCAAGGCAACGAUGCAUAGCCGACCUGAGAGGGGGACGGCCCCAACUGGAACUAGACCAGGGCCCAGACCCCCAGGGGAGGCAACAGUGGGGAAUUUUCCGCAAUGGGGAAAAGCCUGACGGAGCAACGCCGGGUGGGGGAUGAAGGCCUUCGGAUCGUAAAACUCUGUUAUUGGGGAAAAACAUAUGUUAAAGUAACUGGGCAAAUCUUGACGGUACCAAAUAAAAAAGCCCCGGCUAACUACGG